AUUGAACGCUGGCGGCAUGCCUUACACAUGCCAGUCGAACGGCAGCACGGGUGCUUGCACCUGGUGGCGAGUGGCGAACGGGUGAGUAAUACAUCGGAACAUGUCCUGUAGUGGGGGAUAGCCCGGCGAAAGCCGGAUUAAUACCGCAUACGAUCUACGGAUGAAAGCGGGGGACCUUCGGGCCUCGCGCUAUAGGGUUGGCCGAUGGCUGAUUAGCUAGUUGGUGGGGUAAAGGCCUACCAAGGCGACGAUCGGUAGCUGGUCUGAGAGGACGACCAGCCACACUGGGACUGAGACACGGCCCAGACUCCUACGGGAGGCAGCAGUGGGGAAUUUUGGACAAUGGGCGAAAGCCUGAUCCAGCAAUGCCGCGUGUGUGAAGAAGGCCUUCGGGUUGUAAAGCACUUUUGUCCGGAAAGAAAUCCUUGGCCCUAAUACGGUCGGGGGAUGACGGUACCGGAAGAAUAAGCACCGGCUAACUACGUG
rnacentral:rRNA from 1 species